rfam:Kwoniella mangroviensis CBS 10435 unplaced genomic scaffold supercont2.2, whole genome shotgun sequence.
GCCCCCGUAGCUCAAUUGGUUAGAUCAUCCGACUCUUAACUUCAGAGUCAGAUCGGAAGGUUGUGGGUUCGAGUCCCACCGAGGGCU